CCGGGCCCUUUCUUCAUGGAUUUUGCGUGUUAUCUAUAUGUUUGUGUGGGUUCUCUCUGGGUACUCCGGCAAGCAAGAGCCUUCGGUUUUGGAGACACAACAAACUGAUGCCAUGGAAGCAUGAGAAAGUAUUGUCAAGUACAGUCUCAAGAACAUGGAGGAGAUUCCAGGAGACAGGGAGUUACUCUAGGAGGGCUGGACAGGGCUGCUGGAGUUCCUUAACCCAUCAGCAGGACCGGUAUCUGCUCCUUUGUGCAAGGAAGAACAGGACACCAUUAUAAACAUACUUCAAAAGGGUGGCCUGAGGGCCCGAAGUCCUCUAUGUUCUUAAUGUCCAGCACUGUGGAGCUCGACUAGCAUUUGACAGAGAACACCAGAAUUGGCAGGCUCGGCACUGACGCCCUGUUCUUUUCAGAAAUGAAAGCAGGUGAAGUCUGAGCUCAAGUGACAGGCAUAAAAUGGUCUGGAGAAGCUGCAGUGGAUGUUAUGCUGCCUGCAACAUUGUUCAGCAGGAUCAGUUUGAUGUAGGUGCCAAGAUGCCCAGACGGGUAGAGGAGGAGCACAGGGAUCCAGAGCAGCAGUGGUCCUCUCCGGCUACAGUGUUUGAAGGCAACUGCAGCCCUUUCAGCGUGCCAAAUUGUUUUGGGGCCCAGAGCCCAUCAUGUGUCUUGGUUUAACAAUGCUAAACAAAUAAUUUAAGUACAUAUGAAUGUAACUUGAUCCAAUGUGUUACGAAUUAUACAACCAAAAACCACAAUAUGUGUUGUCUUUACCUUCUAUAGAAGGAUAUUUGCAUUUUUGCAACAUAUGAAAAAGAAGAAUGUAUUUUGACUAAACAUUUUAUUUUUGAAUACUGAUGCUUUUAGAAAAUGUAAUUAAACUGUUACAUUACUGCAGAUGCAAAUGAGCAUCCUGAU